rnacentral:rRNA from 1 species
AUUGAACGCUGGCGGCAUGCCUUACACAUGCAAGUCGAACGGUAACAGGUCUUCGGAUGCUGACGAGUGGCGAACGGGUGAGUAAUACAUCGGAACGUGCCCGAUCGUGGGGGAUAACGAAGCGAAAGCUUUGCUAAUACCGCAUACGAUCUACGGCUGAAAGCGGGGGAUCUUCGGACCUCGCGCGGACGGAGCGGCCGAUGGCAGAUUAGGUAGUUGGUGGGAUAAAAGCUUACCAAGCCGACGAUCUGUAGCUGGUCUGAGAGGAUGAUCAGCCACACUGGGACUGAGACACGGCCCAGACUCCUACGGGAGGCAGCAGUGGGGAAUUUUGGACAAUGGGCGCAAGCCUGAUCCAGCCAUGCCGCGUGCAGGAUGAAGGCCUUCGGGUUGUAAACUGCUUUUGUACGGAACGAAAAGGUGCCUUCUAAUAAAGGGCGCUCAUGACGGUACCGUAAGAAUAAGCACCGGCUAACUACGUG